rnacentral:rRNA from 1 species
AGAGUUUGAUCCUGGCUCAGAUUGAACGCUGGCGGCAUGCCUUACACAUGCAAGUCGAACGGCAGCGCGGGGCAACCUGGCGGCGAGUGGCGAACGGGUGAGUAAUAUAUCGGAACGUGCCCUGGAGUGGGGGAUAACGCAGCGAAAGUUGCGCUAAUACCGCAUAUGAUCUAAGGAUGAAAGCAGGGGACCGCAAGGCCUUGUGCUCCUGGAGCGGCCGAUAUCUGAUUAGCUAGUUGGUGGGGUAAAGGCCUACCAAGGCAUCGAUCAGUAGCUGGUCUGAGAGGACGACCAGCCACACUGGAACUGAGACACGGUCCAGACUCCUACGGGAGGCAGCAGUGGGGAAUUUUGGACAAUGGGCGCAAGCCUGAUCCAGCAAUGCCGCGUGAGUGAAGAAGGCCUUCGGGUUGUAAAGCUCUUUUGUCAGGGAAGAAACGGUAUGGGCUAAUAUCCCGUACUAAUGACGGUACCUGAAGAAUAAGCACCGGCUAACUACGUGCCAGCAGCCGCGGUAAUACGUAGGGUGCAAGCGUUAAUCGGAAUUACUGGGCGUAAAGCGUGCGCAGGCGGUUUUGUAAGUCUGAUGUGAAAUCCCCGGGCUCAACCUGGGAAUUGCAUUGGAGACUGCAAGGCUAGAAUCUGGCAGAGGGGGGUAGAAUUCCACGUGUAGCAGUGAAAUGCGUAGAGAUGUGGAGGAACACCGAUGGCGAAGGCAGCCCCCUGGGUCAAGAUUGACGCUCAUGCACGAAAGCGUGGGGAGCAAACAGGAUUAGAUACCCUGGUAGUC